GGGGGGGGGGCAAGCUUGUUCGGGAAUUACUGGGCGUAAAGGGGCGCGCAGGCGGGCGAGACAGUCUUUCGUGAAAUCCCACGGGCUCAACCGUGGAACUGCGGGAGAUACUUCUCUCUUGAGUUCGGGAGAGGAGUGUGGAAUUCCCAGUGUAGCGGUGAAAUGCGUAGAUAUUGGGAGGAACACCGGUGGCGAAGGCGGCACUCUGGACCGAUACUGACGCUGAGGCGCGAAAGCUAGGGGAGCAAACGGGAUUAGAUACCCCGGUAGUCCUGGCUGUAAACGCUGAGCACUUGGUGUAGCGGGUAUCGACCCCUGCUGUGCCGAAGCUAACGCAUUAAGUGCUCCGCCUGGGGAGUACGGUCGCAAAGGCUG
rnacentral:rRNA from 1 species